rnacentral:rRNA from 1 species
GGAUAAGCUACUAAGGGCUAACGGCGGAUGCCUUGGCAUCGGAAGGCGAAGAAGGACGUGGCAAGCUGCGAUAAGCUUCGGGGAGCUGUUAACGAGCAUUGAUCCGGAGAUUUCCGAAUGGGGAAACCCGGCGGGAUUUAUAUCCCGUCAUUCAUUACUGAAUACAUAGGUAAUGGAAGCGAACGCAGGGAACUGAAACAUCUAAGUACCUGCAGGAAAAGAAAUCAUUAGAGAUUCCGUGAGUAGCGGCGAGCGAAAGCGGAAGAGCCCAAACCGGAUAAUUUAUUAUCCGGGGUUGUAGGACCCCGACGUGGGAUUGUAUCUGGAUAGUAGAAUGGUAUGGAAAGGCCGACCAUAGACGGUGAUAGUCCGGUAUACGAAAUUCUGAUACACCCUAGGGAGUUCCUGAGUACCACGAGACACGUGAAACCUUGUGGGAAUCUGGGAGGACCAUCUUCCAAGGCUAAAUACUAACCGAUGACCGAUAGUGAACGAGUACCGUGAGGGAAAGGUGAAAAGAACGGGGGAACCCGAGUGAAAUAGAAACUGAAACCGUUAGCUUACAAGCAGUUGGAGCACUAUGUAGCAAUACAGUGUGACAGCGUGCCUUUUGCAUAAUGAGUCAACGACUUACCCUAUGCAGCAAGGUUAAGCCGUAAGGUGGAGCCGCAGCGAAAGCGAGUCUUAAUAGGGCGCAUGAGUUGCAUGGGGUAGACCCGAAACCGGGUGAUCUAUCCAUGGCCAGGGUGAAGUCUCGGUAACACGAGAUGGAGGCCCGAACCGAUAUAGGUUGAAAACUGUUCGGAUGAGCUGUGGAUAGGAGUGAAAGGCUAAUCAAACUCGGUGAUAGCUGGUUUUCUCCGAAAUAUAUUUAGGUAUAGCCUCACAUGAUGACUGACGGAGGUAGAGCACUGACAAGGCUAGGGGUCCCACCGGAUUACCAACCCUUCUCAAACUCCGAAUGCCGUCAAGUUCAAGUGUGGGAGUCAGACUGUGGGAGAUAAGUUCCAUGGUCAAAAGGGAAAGAGCCCAGACCGUCAGCUAAGGUCCCUAAACUAUGCUAAGUGGGAAAGGAUGUGGAAUUGUGGAUACAACCAGGAGGUUGGCUUAGAAGCAGCAAUCCUUUAAAGAAAGCGUAAUAGCUCACUGGUCUAAUGAAUCUGCGCCGAAAAUUUAACGGGGCUAAGCAUAGUACCGAAGCUACGGAUCGAAAUUUAUUUCGAUGGUAGGAGAAUAUUGUGGUCGCCUGAGAAGGUACACCGUAAGGAGUGCUGGAGGUCCCACAAGAGCUUAUGUUGACACGAGUAGCGAAAAACAAGGUGAGAAACCUUGUCGCCGAAAGCCUCAGGUUUCCUGUAGUCAAGUUAAUCUGCUCAGGGUUAGUCGGCCCCUAAGGCGAGGCCGAGAGGCGUAGUCGAUGGGAAACAGGUUAAUAUUCCUGUACCACCGGUAUGAUGUUAUGGUAAGGGGGGACGGAGAAGGUAAGGCCAUCCGGGCGUUGGUAGUCCCGGUUUAAGCGUGUAGGUGGAGGACUUAGGCAAAUCCGGGUCCUUGUUAACACUGAGGCGUGAUGACGAUGUCUUUCAGACAGCAAAGUGGCUGGUUCCAUGCUUCCAGGAAAAUCCUCGUAUCUAGUCAUACAGGUGACCGUACCGUAAACCGACACAGGUAGGCAGGUAGAAGAUACCAAGGCGCUUGAGAGAACUCUGGUUAAGGAACUCGGCAAAAUAGCACCGUAACUUCGGGAGAAGGUGUGCCUGGAUGGUAAGUAAAUUUACUUUACGAGCCUGGUCAGGUUGCAAUGAAAUGGGGGGAGCGACUGUUUACUAAAAACACAGGACUCUGCGAAGUCGAAAGACGAAGUAUAGGGUCUGACGCCUGCCCGGUGCCGGAAGGUUAAGGGGACAUGUCAGCGCAAGCGAAGCAUCGAACCGAAGCCCCGGUAAACGGCGGCCGUAACUAUAACGGUCCUAAGGUAGCGAAAUUCCUUGUCGGGUAAGUUCCGACCUGCACGAAUGGCGUAACGAUUUCCCCACUGUCUCAACCAGAGACUCAGCGAAACUGUAACACCGGUGAAGAUGCCGGUUACCCGCAACUAGACAGAAAGACCCCGUGAACCUUUACUAUAGCUUGGCAUUGUUUUUUGGGAUAACAUGUGUAGGAUAGGUGGGAGACUUUGAAGCGGCUACGCUAGUAGUCGUGGAGUCACCCUUGAAAUACCACCCUUGUUAUCUUAGAAAUCUAACUGCGGUCCGUGAUCCGGAUCCAGGACAUUGUCUGGUGGGUAGUUUGACUGGGGCGGUCGCCUCCCAAAGAGUAACGGAGGCGCGCGAUGGUUCCCUCAGGCUGAUUGGAAACCAGCCGUAGAGUGUAAAGGCAUAAGGGAGCUUGACUGCGAGAGAGACAUUUCGAGCAGGUACGAAAGUAGGUCUUAGUGAUCCGGCGAUUCCGCAUGGAAGGGUCGUCGCUCAACGGAUAAAAGGUACUCCGGGGAUAACAGGCUUAUCUCCCCCAAGAGUCCAUAUCGACGGGGAGGUUUGGCACCUCGAUGUCGGCUCAUCACAUCCUGGGGCUGAAGCAGGUCCCAAGGGUUUGGCUGUUCGCCAAUUAAAGUGGUACGUGAGCUGGGUUUAAAACGUCGUGAGACAGUUUGGUCCUUAUCUGUUGCGGGCGCAGGAUAUUUGAGGAGAUCUUUUCCUAGUACGAGAGGACCGGAAUGGACGAACCUAUGGUGUACCAGUUGUUCUGCCAAGGGCAUCGCUGGGUAGCUAAGUUCGGAAGGGAUAACCGCUGAAAGCAUCUAAGCGGGAAGCCUACUCCAAGAUAAGAUAUCCCGUGACGUAAGUCACCUAAAGGCUCGUUGUAGACUACAACGUUGAUAGGUCGGGUGUGGAAGUGUAGCAAUACAUGGAGCUUACCGAUACUAAUAAGCCGUGCGGCUUAUCCAU